rnacentral:rRNA from 1 species
CUUCCUACGGGGCGCAGCAGUGGGGAAUAUUGGGCAAUGGGCGCAAGCCUGACCCAGCAACGCCGCGUGAAGGAAGAAGGCUUUCGGGUUGUAAACUUCUUUUCUCAGGGACGAAGCAAGUGACGGUACCUGAGGAAUAAGCCACGGCUAACUACGUGCCAGCAGCCGCGGUAAUACGUAGGUGGCAAGCGUUAUCCGGAUUUACUGGGUGUAAAGGGCGUGUAGGCGGGAAAGCAAGUCAGAUGUGAAAUCCACGGGCUCAACCCGUGAACUGCACUUGAAACUGUUUCCCUUGAGUGUCGGAG